AUUGAACGCUGGCGGCAGGCUUAACACAUGCAAGUCGAGCGGAAACGGCAUAGGCAAUCCCUUCGGGGUGCGCUUAUGGACGUCGAGCGGCGGACGGGUGAGUAAUGCCUGGGAAUCUGCCUGGUAGUGGGGGAUAACUUGCCGAAAGGUAAGCUAAUACCGCGUACGCCCUACGGGGGAAAGCAGGGGAUCUUCGGACCUUGCGCUAUCAGAUGAGCCCAGGCCGGAUUAGCUAGUUGGUAGGGUAAAGGCCUACCAAGGCGACGAUCCGUAGCUGGUCUGAGAGGAUGAUCAGCCACACCGGGACUGAGACACGGCCCGGACUCCUACGGGAGGCAGCAGUGGGGAAUAUUGGACAAUGGGGGGAACCUGAUCCAGCCAUGCCGCGUGUGUGAAGAAAGUCUUCGGAUUGUAAAGCACUUUAAGUUGGGAGGAAGAGCUCCGGGCUAAUACCCUGCGAGUUUUGACGUUUACCAACAGAAUAAGCACCGGCUAACUUCGUGCCAGCAGCCGCGGUAAUACCAAAGGUGCGAGCGUUAAUCGGAAUUACUGGGCGUAAGCGCGCGUAAGUGGGUUGUUAA
rnacentral:rRNA from 1 species